UUGGAUCCAAGGGGUAUGCUACUACAUCACCAUGCCAAAGGUUGCUCGUUCAUACUAGACUCCUUUUGAAAAGAAAAGUUAGAGAGGAUACCUUAGAGGACCAUGAUAACUGUAAUGACCACAGACACCGAAGAAGGUAGAGGGUCGCCACUUGAAAUCAUUAGGAAAUGAGAGGGGCGAAGGAUGACAGCUCGGAUUUCU
rnacentral:lncRNA from 1 species